rnacentral:rRNA from 1 species
GAUGAACGCUGGCGGCGUGCCUAAUACAUGCAAGUUGAGCGAACGGACGAGAAGCUUGCUUUUCUGUUGUUAGCGGCGGACGGGUGAGUAACACGCGGAUAACCUACCUAUAAGCCUGGGAUAACUUCGGGAAACCGGAGCCAAUACCGCAUAAUAUUUUGAUCCGCUUGGUUCUAAAUUUACAGAAGGUCCUUCUGUUUCUUAUAUAUGGCUCCGCGCUGCAUUAGCUAGUUGGUAAAGUAACUGCUUACCGAGGCAACGAUGCAUAGCCGACCUCAGAGGCGGAUCGGCCGCACUGGACCUCAGACGCGCUCCAGACCUCUACGGGAGGCAGCAGUAGGGAAUCUUCGACAAUACGCGAGAGACUGACGCAGCUACGCCGCGUGAGUGAUGAAGGUCUUCGGAUCGUAAGACUCUGUUAUUGAGGAAGAACAUAUAUGUAAGUAACCGUGCAACUCUUAACAGUACCUAAUCAAAAGACCACGGCGAACUUCGUG